UGCAUCCCUUGCUGCGGAAGUGUGGAGUCAACCACUGGACCACCACCCCCUCCUGUGCACUUAGAGGGAUGUGGAGAUUAUGGAAUAAUCCCAGACAUAUUACCUGCUUUAGUCCUCAAAACUGCCUAAAAAGGAAUGAAUGCAGACUAUACAGAUGAGGAAGCUGAGGCUUAAAGGAAGAAAGUGGUAUACCUAAAGUCCUCUGUGAAGGAAGUGGCAGACCUGAGAUUCAAACUCAAGUCUAGUUACUCAAAGCCUGAGCUCUCUCCAUAAGGUUGUAGUGAAGACCACGUAAGUAGCAUGUGCCAAGCUCCUUGGAACCACAGUAAAGACAGUAAUUAAUCUGAUGGGGAAAAAAUCAGGGAAGACUGCCCAGCAGAAAUAUUUGAGUUGAUUCUUGAAGGGUGAAUAAAAUGUUAACUGAUAGAGAAAGAGGAUAUUGGGG
rnacentral:lncRNA from 1 species